AACGAACGCUGGCGGCAUGCCUAACACAUGCCAGUCGAACGAGACCUUCGGGUCUAGUGGCGCACGGGUGCGUAACGCGUGGGAACCUGCCCUUAGGUUCGGAAUAACUCCCCGAAAGGGGUGCUAAUACCGGAUAAUGUCUUCGGACCAAAGAUUUAUCGCCUUUGGAUGGGCCCGCGUUGGAUUAGCUAGUUGGUAGGGUAAAAGCCUACCAAGGCGACGAUCCAUAGCUGGUCUGAGAGGAUGAUCAGCCACACUGGGGCUGAGACACGGCCCAGACGCCGACGGGGGGCGGCAGUGGGGAAGAGGGCACAAGGGGCGGAAGCCUGAUGCAGCGACGUCGCGGGGGGGAGGAAGGCCUUCGGGUUGGAAAAGCCUUUCGCGAGGGACGAAGCUGUUUGUGACGGUACCUAGAGAAGAAGCACCGGCUAACUACGUG
rnacentral:rRNA from 1 species